rnacentral:tRNA from 2 species
CGGCCGCUGUGGCCAAGUGUUUCCAGUGGCGGGCGAUGCGCCGUAUCACGCUGGGUGCGCGAGGGGUAUUCAGGGUUUGUGCCGCUUCAAUCAACGGUUGGCC